CUUAGCUAACUAAAAUAGAAAGACAAACCAACAAUCACACACAGAGAGACAUACCCAGAUAGCAGAGGACUGUGGGGCGGAUCCGCCUUCAAGCCGGCACAUCCGCCAUAUGCUCUCCCCCGUUUUGUCCACGUGCACCGGAUCCGGCCCGCCUCCAGACAGCGCUCUGUCAAACUGCAGACUCACUGCGGACACCGGGCGGAUUCGCACAUCGAACGCACAUGUUUUAAAAAUUCUUAACCAUCGCUGACCAUAAUUCUGACAGACAGCAAAGCGCUUGCAGUGGGAAUCGGCAGCUCUCUCGGAGGACACGGACACACAUACAGCUCAUUCACAAGUGGCGCCAGUCUGAUAUGGGGACUGCCUGAUUCUCAGCCUUUCCUGCUGCCGGUGUAAAAUUUUCUUCCUGGAAGCCAGAGGGGCCACAACAGAGAACGUGCCACGUGGGACAUCCUUGCCCACAUGUUCCAUGUUGAUGUCGGGAAGAGGAUAAAUUGUAAAGGGAUCACUGAGAAAAAAGUCUAUGCCAGAUGGCACUGGAGAUGUUGCUCCUGUGUAAGUAAUUGUAAUUUAUAUAAAACAAUCUGAAGUCACACAACAUUCUUAGGCAGUGUUCAAACUGGCAUUAGCACUACUCUAAAAAACACAACCAUGCUUAUCAACGCAGAGGAUUGGGAGUCAACACAGGGGGUUUCAGAAAACAUUGCAGGGUCUGUUGGCUAAAAAAUCUUUAAUUAAAAAGUUUUAAUGCCAUGCAACAACACAUUAUCUGGCAUAGCACUGAGUUGGCGAAGAUACAGUAUGUGCAAAUGUCACGUGUGGAUACGCGAUAAAAGAUAAAUUAAAAGGGUAUUACUAACUAAAAAAUAUGUUGUGAGGGUUCGGCGACAACGCCACAAUGAGCCCUAGGACUCACAGACCCACAGGUUCUUUAAAAAUCGGGGUUGGAGCAGAGCAGAAACAAACCACAGAAGCUAAAAUAAAUGUUAACAAUUUAUUACAAUUAAAAAAUGUUUAUAAGUUUAGCCUAACUAAAACCCAUGUGAUGCCACAGAUAAAACAAAAGCUAAAUAAGAGAGAAAUGUUCCGUGAUUUGACAGCUCCCGGCACGGCAAACAGUCCGCAGUCCUCGCCGCUCGUCGGUUUCCUACGACAGAGGAAGCACUGGCGAGUAGUGUGCUCACAUCAGUCAACCCGCACCCUAUGCCUAACGACCCCGACUCUGCAGCCCUCCCCUGCCUGGUCCUAUGGCCGCCUAGCUUAAGAUACAUAAACUGUUACUGACGGUUUCCCCGGGCUACAGUCGUACUGUUCGCCCAGGCCUGAGUGGAAAUGCGUUGGCGGACACUGGCUGCUGCGGUCGUCUACUCGUGUUGCUGCUGGCUCUGCCCGAAUCAGCCCAGUGUCUCCCUGCAGGCCUCUAUAGCGACUACUCUCACUGUCGCCCUCUGCUGCGUCGUCUCGGCUGCCGCACCGGUUCCGUCCAAUCAAUUACUUCCCCACAAGUCUCUCUCUAGCUGCCGUCCUCCUGCUUGAUGCCCCCCCUGCUCAGCGCCCAACGAGCUGGCCGACUUUCCCUGCUGCUCUCUUCACAGUUCUCUACGUCGAACCUCCAUCUCCUCCGCCUGCUUCCCCGCAGUCACGCUCCUUACCGGCCUACAUCCUUCGUCCGUAUCGUCGCGUUCCACGCUCCCUCACUCUUCCUACUGCCGUUGCUUCACUUAAAAAGGAGUCCUGUCCAAUCCGUUGACGGCUUCCACACCUGUUGCUCAUUUGGUCAUAAUGUCAUCAGUGGAGGUGUGCGGUUUAAGAUCAGUCCAGCCAGUAAAACUUAAGUUAGUAAAACACACAUGCAUUAAAACACACCACAUGCUAUAAAAACACAAAUAACACACUGAAAAAGGUAAAAAGGCACAGCACACAAAUUAAAACACACCAGAAGCAUAAAAAGUCACCUGCCAUUUUCUGGCCCUGUCACACAAAUACACAUUUCUGGUAGACUUAUGAUUGUCGUUGUCAUGGAAGAUAAAAUAAUUUUUGGCAUGGCAACUUUCCAGAGUUGUUAUAUAGUUUCUCAUAGUAUUAUAAACAGUUAUACAGUGUUUUGACAUCUAACAAGCCAUAAAACGCAUGGAUCUUUCACUCCAACCAGCCUUCCUGGGUGAUAUUUCAUGGUCAAAUCGGCACAUGAAGACAUGCCUCCACCAAGUUUUUGAACGCAGUGCUGUUUUCGGUCUGAACACUGUCUUAAUCUCACAAUCCAUAUCAAAAACCUUGCAUCAUCUUGUCACAAGAUUGCUGACGUAAUCUGCACUCUGCGCAUGCGUUGGCGUCUGUAGCCACCUGUCGGAUGCUCCGUCUUAAACCGAACUCUUAUCCAGUUUUAAUCCACUCUUUUUCGUUACAUUUUUUUAUAUCCUUUUUAUUUAACUUAAGUUUUUAACUUAAGUUUUACGUGGGUUAAGGAUUUUAGCCGUCUCUAACCUGCACCAUCGGGUAGCCCUUCUCUCAGGUAUGUUACUGCUACUCCAACACAACACUCGGCAGCUCACACACUCC